CAGGGAGUCAGGUGGAAUGAAGCACUUUGAAGCAGCGCCAUCAACAGAAUGAGGAGGAGGAACGAGUGAGCUACAGGCCGGAGCAGUCGACCGUCUCUCUCUGCAAACAACAGGUUUUAGAUCUCCCAGAAAAAAAACAACUCAUGAUUGAUGACACAACAAAUGGAGAGAAAUAAGAAAACUGCUCUGCUGGUUCUUCUCGCUGCGCUUCAAGUCCUCAGCGACAGGAUGGAGGAUUGUCCCGACCAGCCAGUUUCAAAUCUCACUUGCAACACUGACUUCAACCGUUACAUCACUUGUGUGUGGAACAGUGCGUCUGAGCACAGGGAGGCUCAGUGCAGACUUCACGCCAAAAGGUUGGUUAAUAUAGCAAGGGUUAGCAUUAGUCGUGAAUACAGCGCUUCCUGUGACAUGGAGCCCGCUCAUGUGUCCGGACCGGGGCUGAGGAAGUGCACCUUGGUGUUCAAUAUA